GCAGCUGACGAGGCCUUUACUGACGCUAAAGCUCGAAGGUGCGGGUAUCGAACAGGAUUAGAUACCCUGGUAGUCCGCACGGUAAACGAUGGAUGCCCGCUGUUUGCGAUACACUGUGAGCGGCCAAGCGAAAGCGUUAAGCAUCCCACCUGGGGAGUACGCCGGCAACGGUGAAACUCAAAGGAAUUGACGGGGGCCCGCACAAGCGGAGGAACAUGUGGUUUAAUUCGAUGAUACGCGAGGAACCUUACCCGGGCUUGAACUGCCGGCGAACGAUACAGAGAUGUUGAGGCCCUUCGGGGCGCCGGUGGAGGUGCUGCAUGGUUGUCGUCAGCUCGUGCCGUGAGGUGUCGGCUUAAGUGCCAUAACGAGCGCAACCCCUCUCCGUAGUUGCCAUCGGGUGAUGCCGGGCACUCUGCGGACACUGCCACCGUAAGGUGUGAGGAAGGUGGGGAUGACGUCAAAUCAGCACGGCCCUUACGUCCGGGGCUACACACGGGAACAAUGGGUGGUACAGAGGGCAGGCGGCGGGCGACGUCCGUCGAAUCCUAAAAGCCAUCCUCAGUUCGGACUGGGGUCUGCAACCCGACCCCACGAAGCU
rnacentral:rRNA from 1 species